CGGUAAACAAAGGGAAGCUAGCCGGUGACGGUGCGCGAAUCCCAAAAAUAACGUCUCAGUUCGGAUUGUAGUCUGCAACUCGACUACAUGAAGCUGGAAUCGCUAGUAAUCGCGGAUCAGAAUGCCGCGGUGAAUACGUUCCCGGGUCUUGUACACACCGCCCGUCACACCAUGGGAGUCGGAAAUGCCCGAAGUCUGUGACCGAACCGAAAGGAAGGAGCAGCCGAAGGCAGGUCGGAUGACUGGGGUGAAGUCGUAACAAGGUACC
rnacentral:rRNA from 1 species